CAAGUCGAACGAGGAAAGCACUUAUCGGGUGCCGGUACUAGUGGCGCACCGUUGAGUAACGCGUGGAUAAUCUGCCCUCUGGCGGGGAAUAACCAGUCGAAAGAUUGGCUAAUACCGCAUAAGACCACAGCAUCUGCGGAUGCAGGGGUUAAAGAUUUAUCACCAGAGGAUGAGUCCGCGUCCGAUUAGCUUGAUGGUGGGGUAAUGGCCUACCAUAGCGACGAUCGGUAGCUGGUCUGAGAGGAUGAUCAGCCACACUGGAACUGAGACACGGUCCAGACUCCUACGGGAGGCAGCAGUAGGGAAUAUUGCGCAAUGGGGGAAACCCUGACGCAGCGACGCCGCGUGAGUGAUGAAGGCCCUCGGGUUGUAAAGCUCUGUUCUAUGGGAACAAAAAAAUGAGUGUACCAUAGAAGAAAGGACCGGCUAACUCCGUGCCAGCAGCCGCGGUAAUACGGGGGGUCCUAGCGUUGUUCGGAAUCAUUGGGCGUAAAGCGGGUGUAGGCGGACUAGUCAGUCAGAAGUGAAAGCCCCGGGCUCAACCCGGGAAGUGCUUUUGAUACUGCUAGUCUUGAGUGUGGGAGAGGGUAGUAGAAUUCCUGGUGUAGUGGUGAAAUACGUAGAUAUCAGGAGGAACACCGGUGGCGAAGGCGGCUGCCUGGCCCAACACUGACGCUCAGACCCGAAAGCGUGGGUAGCAAACAGGAUUAGAUACCCUGGUAGUCCACGCCGUACACAAUGGACACUUGUUGUUGGAGGUAUUGACCCCUUCAG
rnacentral:rRNA from 1 species